GCCGAUACUGAGACCUAGCUGAAGCUGCAGCUGCCAAAAGCUCCUUAGUCAGAGAAAAGCCCCUCUCAACCGUUGCUUGGCCAUGGGAGAGAAGCAGAAGUUUCCUGCAGAAUGCCCAGAGUUCAGGCACAAGUCGGGGUCUGAGAACAUGCUCGUUGGGUCCAAACAUGCCAUCUGCCUCACAAUGGUGUACUUCAGUGGGCUCUUGUCUUGCAUUUUCUUGACAAUAUUGGUCAAACAGUCCAUGCAGUCCUUUCUAAAUGCCAACACACUGAGCUCACCUACGCUGCUCUUGGGGCUACUCUGGAGUUCCUAACAGGAAGAGGGGAGGAG
ensembl:lncRNA